UGUGAGCCAGUCAGACUGUGUGUGCGUGUGUGUGAGCGACUGGCUCACACACACACACACUGACUGGCUCACACACACACACACACUGACUGGCUCACACA